rnacentral:rRNA from 1 species
AUGUGCUGCUACGCCAAAACUCGGCGCAAAGAACCAACCAGAUUGCCCCAGUGGAUAAUUAAAAAAAAGGAAUUUGUCGAAAUUUUUCUUUUUUUAUUGUUGAAUAAUGCCAAACAAAUAAAAAAAAUCCAAAAGUAAAAAGGAAAUGAAUUAGUUAAUUCAAUAAGAGAGAAAAGGGGACCAGGACUUGAUUUCGUUGCCCAAGCGAAUCCCAUUCAAUCGUUUACUCAUGGAAUGAGUCCGUUGGAAAGUUCAAUCAAUAUUUUUUUCAUAUACAUACAUUUUGCCGGCUAG